GCUGCGCAGCUACCAUGCAGUCGAGCGGAACGAUGGAAGCUUGCUUCCAGGCGUCGAGCGGCGGACGGGUGAGUAAUGCAUAGGAAUCUGCCCGAUAGUGGGGGAUAACCUGGGGAAACCCAGGCUAAUACCGCAUACGUCCUACGGGAGAAAGCAGGGGAUCUUCGGACCUUGCGCUAUCGGAUGAGCCUAUGUCGGAUUAGCUAGUUGGUGAGGUAACGGCUCACCAAGGCCGCGAUCCGUAGCUGGUCUGAGAGGAUGAUCAGCCACAUCGGGACUGAGACACGGCCCGAACUCCUACGGGAGGCAGCAGUGGGGAAUAUUGGACAAUGGGCGAAAGCCUGAUCCAGCCAUGCCGCGUGUGUGAAGAAGGCUUUCGGGUUGUAAAGCACUUUCAGUGGGGAAGAAAUCCUCGGGGCCAAUACCCUCGAGGGAGGACAUCACCCACAGAAGAAGCACCGGCUAACUCCGUGCCAGCAGCCGCGGUAAUACGGAGGGUGCGAGCGUUAAUCGGAAUUACUGGGCGUAAAGCGCGCGUAGGCGGCGUGAUAAGCCGGUUGUGAAAGCCCCGGGCUCAACCUGGGAACGGCAUCCGGAACUGUCAGGCUAGAGUGCAGGAGAGGAAGGUAGAAUUCCCGGUGUAGCGGUGAAAUGCGUAGAGAUCGGGAGGAAUACCAGUGGCGAAGGCGGCCUUCUGGACUGACACUGACGCUGAGGUGCGAAAGCGUGGGUAGCAAACAGGAUUAGAUACCCUGGUAGUCCACGCCGUAAACGAUGUCGACUAGCCGUUGGGGUCCUUGUGACCUUUGUGGCGCAGUUAACGCGAUAAGUCGACCGCCUGGGGAGUACGGCCGCAAGGUUAAAACUCAAAUGAAUUGACGGGGGCCCGCACAAGCGGUGGAGCAUGUGGUUUAAUUCGAUGCAACGCGAAGAACCUUACCUACUCUUGACAUCGUGCGAACUUUCCAGAGAUGGAUUGGUGCCUUCGGGAACGCACAGACAGGUGCUGCAUGGCCGUCGUCAGCUCGUGUUGUGAAAUGUUGGGUUAAGUCCCGUAACGAGCGCAACCCUUGUCCCUAUUUGCCAGCGAUUCGGUCGGGAACUCUAGGGAGACUGCCGGUGACAAACCGGAGGAAGGUGGGGACGACGUCAGGUCAUCAUGGCCCUUACGAGUAGGGCUACACACGUGCUACAAUGGCCGGUACAAAGGGUUGCGAAGCCGCGAGGUGGAGCUAAUCCCGAAAAGCCGGUCUCAGUCCGGAUCGGAGUCUGCAACUCGACUCCGUGAAGUCGGAAUCGCUAGUAAUCGUGAAUCAGAAUGUCACGGUGAAUACGUUCCCGGGCCUUGUACACACCGCCCGUCACACCAUGGGAGUGGACUGCACCAGAAGUGGUUAGCCUAACUUCGGAGGGCGAUCACCACGGCGUACGGC
rnacentral:rRNA from 1 species